GUUCCUCCUUUUUCAAGGCUGCCAAAGAAAACAGGAGAGGGGAAAAAAAUCUUUUUUCUCCCUUUCCCACAGUAUGGUUUUAUAAUUUUCAUUUUACAGAGAGGAAAAAGAGGACAGACAAGUCACGAGACGAGCUUGUGAAAUUCUUGAGCACUUACCGGGUGGCUCUCCUAAGCCAGUAGAAGCUGCUGAAAGGGGAACAGCGCAGGAGAGACACCCAGAAGCAAACUACUGGAAGAAGAUUCAUUUAUUCGUGGACUUCCCAAUAAUUAUAAUCGUCACCAUAACACUGGGAAAGACAGUUGCCUCUCCAAAUCCAAUUUUCCUUUUUCUUUCUUAACUACAGAAUUUUGAUUUUAAGCUUGACAAUGCUUAAAAUCCGGUCAAAACACACGUUACAGCUUACCUUAAAGAAAAGGGAAGGCAUGUAACUCUGCUCAGGACAAUGUUAUUUGGGCAAAAGCUGUUCACCGGGACUCGGAAAAGUCUCAUUAAAACAGCAAGGAUUCAGCUGGCCUUGACCAUUUUGCAUAUUCCUUUUUCCUUCUCUACCUGUGAUCGGUAAGAUAGGGCAGCCAUCGGGAGCAUGAGGUGUUCUGAGGAUAUAAGCUUCUGCUAAGCACAGCAAAGCAGGAAAUAAAAGUAUUCUAAAGAUAUUAAUACAAAAAAAGUCAACAUGCCAGGCCUGAACAGCCUAUCUCUGGAUUCCAUCAUACACGAGAGAAAAGUUCAUGUAUUUUUAAGCCACUUAUUUUUAGGUCUUUGUAUCUGGCAAAUGGCACUCCUAACUGGUAGUGUAGUUCGGAUUUAUGGAGUGUGUGGUAGGUUCUAGAUACAGGUCACCCCAGAAAGGUAACACCUUUCUGUGCAGGUUAGACAUACCUAGUUUGUGAUUUUUAUAGCCUCAUUUGUCGUUGGAAGAAUUGAUUAAAUUGAUAGAUGUUCAUACCCCUCCUUUCAGCAGAAAAUAGUUAUUCUGAGAUUGGGUCAUCCCUUCACGCUACAGAGGGUACUAACUCUACUUCUGCUCAAAGUAGUAUUAACAAUUAUAAUUAACAGUGUUGCAUUUGAAUUUUAAACGCUAACUACUCAAUUCACUGUUUGCAGUACAGUAAAUAUCAAGUCACAACGACAAGAAGUAAAUACAGAAAGCACCAUUUUGAUGUUUGAAAGCUGCUUACAAAGAUUGAACUGAGGUUACGCUGUUCCAUUUUUCCAGACAGCUUCAAAAACUUCUAAAAAAUUAUGUUAUUAAAUUAGACAUAAUAUUCUGACAUGGAGUCCUUGGGAACGCAGACACAAGAAACUUACAUUUCUAGUUCUAGCUCCUUCCAAGGAGUCUAUGACAGCACCUCAAAAUAUAACAACUCCUUUAAAUUGGCUCCUAGGAGGAACAUUUGAUUAUCAGAAGAAUGAAGCCUUUGGCACGCUUGUCAAUCAUAUCUAUUGUUGUAUCCUGUGAAGAAGGGUAAUCAAUUCUGAAUAGUAUCUCUUAAGGAGAAAGCUUUUAUUAUAAUAAGGCUUUUCUGUAAAUGUAACUUGUAAAAAAGAAAUCUCGCUUUUUCUUUUCUGAAGUCUUAAGAGGGCUCUUCUGGGAUUGUUCAAGCUAUAGCCCAUCUUUUAUUUUUUAUUUCUAAAAUUAAAGUUGAAGGGUUUUGGCUUUUGUUUGGUA